rnacentral:lncRNA from 1 species
CUUGUGUGCAAACUGAAGAUGAACAGAUUGGCCUGUGGUGAAACGCUUUCUGCAGCAGGUGGCGCUCAGCUUCUCCUGAAGAAGCUAAUGAUGUCUGCAUAGCUCCUCCCUUUCUCAGUUAAUGACUGCAGCUAGAAAGGUCGGUGGGGUAAAGCAGAACAGACGGUGCUGCAGGUGUGAAGAAGAAGCAGUCAAAAAUUCGACAGAAGGUCUGCCUCUGAUCAUAUUUUGCCACAUCUUCAUGGCCACCUUUGUGUCGCUGGUGACUUGUUAUCACUGCUGUAUGACGCCCAGGCAUAGGGGUCUCUGCCGGGACUCAAUGACAGCGUUCUCCAAGAACUUCAUCGUGUACAGCCAUAGAAAGAGACACACCACAAUUGUCAGAGAGUCUAAAUUGAGGGACAGAGCAAAGCACAUGGCUCCAAAGGUCAUGCCCAGCCAGUUUGGAUCCCUUUCCAACUCCUCCAAGUCAUGUGGUAUUAAGACCUUCAUGCUUGUUCACGUGAGAAAGCUGUUCAUGCUGAAUGGGAGCCAUCAGAAGAGGGAAACUCACCUGAAGGUGUUUACCUGAAGAUCUGGCCGGAAACAGAAGGUAGAUCUUCUGCCAUUCGGGGGGCAUGUCAAGGUUCAGAAAUAAAAUGUGAGAGCUUUGGAGGUCUUCUCCA